GUCCUAGCCGUAAACGUUGGGUGCUAGGUGUGGGGAUAUCGACCCCUUCCGUGCCGAAGCUAACGCAUUAAGCACCCCGCCUGGGGAGUACGGCCGCAAGGCUAAAACUCAAAGGAAUUGACGGGGCCCGCACAAGCGGCGGAGCAUGUGGCUUAAUUCGAUGCGACGCGAAGAACCUUACCUGGGCUUGACAUGCGGGGCAAAAGUUGUCGAAAGACAGCGCUCUACGGAGCCCGCACAGGUGGUGCAUGGCUGUCGU
rnacentral:rRNA from 1 species